GUGCUCACUUUGGCAGCACAUAUACUCAAAUUGGAACGAAACAGAGAUUAGCAUGGCCCCUGUGCAAGGAUGACACGCAAAUUAGUGAGGCGUUCCAGAUUUAA